rnacentral:rRNA from 1 species
GUUUGUGAAUAUAUAGAAUCACCGGGGUAAUCCCUUUACCCAAAAAAAACUCCGCAGUUAAGCGUGCUUGGGCGAGAGUAGGACUAGGAUGGGUGACCCCCUGGGAAGUCCUCGUGUUGCAACCC